rnacentral:rRNA from 1 species
AGGACGAACGCUGGCGGCGUGCUUAACACAUGCAAGUCGAGCGAGGCCCUCUCUUCGGAGAGGUGCCCUAGCGGCGAACGGGUGAGUAACACGUGGGCAACCUGCCCCUAGCACUGGGAUAAGCCCGGGAAACCGGGUCUAAUACCGGAUAUGACCUUCAAGGGCAUCCUCGAAGGUGUAAAGGAUUCUGGCUAGGGAUGGGCCCGCGGCCUAUCAGCUUGUUGGUGGGGUAAUGGCCCACCAAGGCAACGACGGGUAGCCGGCCUGAGAGGGCGACCGGCCACACUGGGACUGAGACACGGCCCAGACUCCUACGGGAGGCAGCAGUGGGGAAUAUUGCACAAUGGGCGAAAGCCUGAUGCAGCGACGCCGCGUGAGGGAUGACGGCCUUCGGUUGUAACCUCUUCAGCUCCGACGAAGCGAAGUGACGGUAGGAGCAGAAGAAGCGACCGGCCAACUACGCGCCAGCAGCCGCGGUAA